UGGUUCUCGCAUCGAUGAAGAACGCAGCGAAUUGCGAUAUGUAAUGUGAAUUGCAGAAUUCAGUGAAUCAUCGAAUCUUUGAACGCACAUUGCACCCUCUGGUAUUCCGGAGGGUAUGCCUGUUUGAGUGUCAUUAAUGUAUCAACACAGACUGGUUUUACCUGUUCUGAUGCUUGGAUGUUGAAGGCUUGCCGGCAUUCACUGCCAGCUCCUUUUAAAUGCAUUAGCAGAAACUUACAAAGCUGGCUUCAGUUUGAUAAUCAUUGUUAUCUGUUUUGCUGUUGCUAGUGGUUAUUGUUUCAGCUUCCAACUGUCCUUAUGGGACUGUCUCUCUAGAGGCAUAAACUUGACACUUGACCUCAAAUCAGGUAGGACUACCCGCUGA
rnacentral:misc_RNA from 1 species